rnacentral:rRNA from 1 species
UACGUACUGUGCGAACGUUAUUCGGAAUCACUGGGCUUAAAGGGUGCGUAGGCGGCCAAUUAAGUAGGGUGUGAAAGGUUACGGCUCAACCGUGACAUUGCGCUCUAGACUGAUUGGCUCGAGUGAGAUAGGGGUGUGCGGAACUUCCAGUGGAGCGGUGAAAUGUGUUGAUAUUGGAAGGAACGCCGGUGGCGAAAGCGGCACACUGGGUCUUAACUGACGCUGAGGCACGAAAGCGUGGGGAUCAAACAGG